GAGCACGCGCGUGUGGCAUAUCAAUAAGCGGAGGAAAAGAAACUAACAAGGAUUCCCUUAGUAACGGCGAGUGAAGCGGGAAGAGCUCAAAUUUGAAAUCUUCAAGGUUCUACCUUGACGAAUUGUAGUUUAUAGAAGUGUUUUCUGUUAGUGGAGUGGCAAAAGUUCUUUGGAAUAGGACAUCAUAGAGGGUGAGAAUCCCGUAUUUGGUCAUUCCUCCUAGCGUUGUGAUACACUUUCAAAGAGUCGGAUUGUUUGGGAAUGCAGUCCAAAAUGGGUGGUAAAUUUCAUCUAAAGCUAAAUAUUGGCGAGAGACCGAUAGCGAACAAGUACCGUGAGGGAAAGAUGAAAAGAACUUUGAAAAGAGAGUUAAACAGUACGUGAAAUUGUCAAAAGGGAAGCGUUUGACACCAGUGUUGUUUUUCCGAAAAUCAAUUACGAAUGUUUUAGUUUUUGAGGAGUUAUGACUUCAUCGGCUUGCUUCUCUCUUUACUGAAACUUUCUUAAUGCACUUUUCGGUUAACAAGUCAACAUCAAUUUCUUUUGUUGUAAAAGGGUAUGAGGAAGGUGGCUUUCUUUUCGGAGAAAGUGUUUAUAGCCUUGUAGCCUCUGCAAUCGGAGAGAUUGAGGUCUGCAGCGUAGAUCCUUCGGGGUUAGAUACAGUUUGUGCUAAGUUAUAGCUUUUCAUAGACAACUUGUUGACUAUGUUUAGUCUUGUAGCUUACUCGCUUAUGCUAUUUUACCUACGCUUAGGAUGUUGAUGUGAUACUGCGAGCA
rnacentral:rRNA from 1 species